UACGUAGGGUGCGAGCGUUAAUCGGAAUUACUGGGCGUAAAGCGUGCGCAGGCGGUUUUGUAAGCCAGAUGUGAAAUCCCCGGGCUCAACCUGGGAAUGGCAUUUGGGACUGCAAGGCUCGAGUGCGGCAGAGGAGACUGGAAUUCCUGGUGUAGCAGUGAAAUGCGUAGAUAUCAGGAGGAACACCGAUGGCGAAGGCAGGUCUCUGGGACGGUACUGACGCUGAGACGCGAAAGCGUGGGGAGCGAACAGG
rnacentral:rRNA from 1 species